rnacentral:rRNA from 1 species
UUAANUUCGGGGUGGCAGGCGAUACGGNCAUAACUAGAGUGCUGUAGGGGAGACUGGAAUUCCUGGUGUAGCGGUGGAAUGCGCAGAUAUCAGGAGGAACACCGAUGGCGAAGGCAGGUCUCUGGGCAGUAACUGACGCUGAGGAGCGAAAGCAUGGGGAGCGAACAGGAUUAGAUACCCUGGUAGUCCAUGCUGUAAACGGUGGGCGUUAGGUGUGGGGACCGGUUUGGUUUCUGUGCCGUAGCUAACGCAUUAAGCGCCCCGCCUGGGGAGUACGGCCGCAAGGCUAAAACUCAAAGGAAUUGACGGGGGCCCGCACAAGCGGCGGAGCAUGUGGAUUAAUUCGAUGCAACGCGAAGAACCUUACCUGGGUUUGACAUGCACCAGACGGUUGUAGAGAUACGUACCUCCCUUUGUGGUUGGUGUGCAGGUGGUGCAUGGUUGUCGUCAGCUCGUGUCGUGAGAUGUUGGGUUAAGUCCCGCAACGAGCGCAACCCUUGUCUUAUGUUGCCAGCACUUUGGGUGGGGACUCAUGAGAGACUGCCGGGGUUAACUCGGAGGAAGGUGGGGAUGACGUCAAAUCAUCAUGCCCUUUAUGCCCAGGGCUUCACACAUGCUACAAUGGUUAGUACAACGCGCUGCGAGCCUGUGAGGGUGAGCGAAUCGCUGAAAGCUAAUCUCAGUUCGGAUUGGGGUCUGCAACUCGACCCCAUGAAGUCGGAGUCGCUAGUAAUCGCAGAUCAGCAAUGCUGCGGUGAAUACGUUCCCGGGCCUUGUACAC